GAUGAAGAACGCAGCGAAAUGCGAUACGUAGUGUGAAUUGCAGAAUCCAGUGAAUCAUCGAAUCUUUGAACGCACAUUGCGCCCGCCAGUAUUCUGGCGGGCAUGCCUGUUCGAGCGUCAUUUCAACCCUCAGGCCCCCAGUGCCUGGUGUUGGGGAUCGGCCCAGCCUUCCUGUAAGGCCGCCGGCCCCGAAAUCUAGUGGCGGUCUCGCUGUAGUCCUCCUCUGCGUAGUAGCACAACCUCGCAGUUGGAACGCGGCGGUGGCCAUGCCGUUAAACACCCCACUUCUGAAAGUUGACCUCGGAUCAGGUAGGAAUACCCGCUGAACUUAAGCAUAUCAAUAAGCGGAGGA
rnacentral:misc_RNA from 1 species